rnacentral:rRNA from 1 species
ACGGAGGAUGCAAGCGUUAUCCGGAUUUAUUGGGUUUAAAGGGUGCGCAGGCGGACGAUUAAGUCAGUGGUGAAAUGCAACAGCUUAACUGUUGAACUGCCAUUGAUACUGAUUAUCUAGAGUACAGACGACGUUGGCGGAAUGCGACAUGUAGCGGUGAAAUGCUUAGAGAUGUCGCAGAACACCGAUUGCGAAGGCAGCUAACGAGGAUGUAACUGACGCUCAUGCACGAAAGCGUGGGGAUCAAACAG